rnacentral:rRNA from 1 species
UACGAAGGGAGCUAGCGUUGUUCGGAAUCACUGGGCGUAAAGCGCACGUAGGCGGAUGUGUCAGUCAGGGGUGAAAUCCCGGAGCUCAACUCCGGAAUUGCCUUUAAGACUGCAUCGCUCGAAUUGUGGAGAGGUAAGUGGAAUUCCGAGUGUAGAGGUGAAAUUCGUAGAUAUUCGGAAGAACACCAGUGGCGAAGGCGACUUACUGGACACAUAUUGACGCUGAGGUGCGAAAGCGUGGGGAGCAAACAGG